rnacentral:tRNA from 1 species
GGGCUGUAGCUCAGUGGAAGGGCCUCUGCUUUGCAUGCCAAAGGUACCCGGUUCAAUCCCUGGCAUGUCCA